rnacentral:rRNA from 1 species
GGUGAUCUGCCCUGCACUUCGGGAUAAGCCUGGGAAACUGGGUCUAAUACCGGAUAUGACCUCCUAUCGCAUGGUGGGUGGUGGAAAGAUUUAUCGGUGCAGGAUGGGCCCGCGGCCUAUCAGCUUGUUGGUGGGGUAAUGGCCUACCAAGGCGACGACGGGUAGCCGACCUGAGAGGGUGACCGGCCACACUGGGACUGAGACACGGCCCAGACUCCUACGGGAGGCAGCAGUGGGGAAUAUUGCACAAUGGGCGAAAGCCUGAUGCAGCGACGCCGCGUGAGGGAUGACGGCCUUCGGGUUGUAAACCUCUUUCAGCAGGGACGAAGCGCAAGUGACGGUACCUGCAGAAGAAGCACCGGCUAACUACGUGCCAGCAGCCGCGGUAAUACGUAGGGUGCAAGCGUUGUCCGGAAUUACUGGGCGUAAAGAGUUCGUAGGCGGUUUGUCGCGUCGUUUGUGAAAACCAGCAGCUCAACUGCUGGCUUGCAGGCGAUACGGGCAGACUUGAGUACUGCAGGGGAGACUGGAAUUCCUGGUGUAGCGGUGAAAUGCGCAGAUAUCAGGAGGAACACCGGUGGCGAAGGCGGGUCUCUGGGCAGUAACUGACGCUGAGGAACGAAAGCGUGGGUAGCGAACAGGAUUAGAUACCCUGGUAGUCCACGCCGUAAACGGUGGGCGCUAGGUGUGGGUUCCUUUCCACGGAAUCCGUGCCGUAGCUAACGCAUUAAGCGCCCCGCCUGGGGAGUACG